rnacentral:rRNA from 1 species
GUAGGAUCCGAGCGUUAUCCGAAUUUACUGGGCGUAAAGCGCGUGUAGGCGGCCGGGUAAGUUGGACGUGAAAGCUCCUGGCUCAACUAGGAGAGGUCGUUCAAAACUGCCUGGCUAGAGGGCGACAGAGGGAGGUGGAAUUCCCGGUGUAGUGGUGAAAUGCGUAGAUAUCGGGAGGAACACCAGUGGCGAAGGCGGCCUCCUGGGUCGCCCCUGACGCUCAGACGCGAAAGCUAGGGGAGCGAACGGGAUUAGAUACCCCGGGUAGUCCUAGCUGUAAACGAUGUGGACUUGGCGUUGGUGGGGUCAAAUCCCAUCAGUGCCGGAGCUAACGCGAUAAGUCCACCGCCUGGGGACUACGACCGCAAGGUUA